GAUGAACGCUAGCGGCAGGCCUAACACAUGCAAGUCGAGGGGCAGCGGGGAUGAAGCUUGCUUCAUCUGCCGGCGACCGGCGCACGGGUGAGUAACACGUAUGCAACCUGCCCGCCACAGGGGGAUAAACGCUGGAAACGGCGCCUAAUACCCCAUACUAUCGCUAAGCUGCAUGGCAUGGCGAUGAAAACUCCGGUGGUGGCGGAUGGGCAUGCGGCGCAUUAGCUAGAUGGUGAGGUAACGGCUCACCAAGGCGACGAUCGGUAGCCGGACUGAGAGGUUGACCGGCCACAUUGGGACUGAGAUACGGCCCAGACUCCUACGGGAGGCAGCAGUGGGGAAUAUUGCACAAUGGGCGAAAGCCUGAUGCAGCGACGCCGCGUGAGCGAAGAAGUAUUUCGGUAUGUAAAGCUCUAUCAGCAGGGAGAAAAUGACGGUACCUGACUAAGAAGCACCGGCUAAAUACGUGACCG
rnacentral:rRNA from 1 species